AAGACGGUCUUGCUGUCACUUAUAGAUGGAUCCGCGCUGCAUUAGCUAGUUGGUAAGGUAACGGCUUACCAAGGCAACGAUGCAUAGCCGACCUGAGAGGGUGAUCGGCCACACUGGAACUGAGACACGGUCCAGACUCCUACGGGAGGCAGCAGUAGGGAAUCUUCCGCAAUGGGCGAAAGCCUGACGGAGCAACGCCGCGUGAGUGAUGAAGGUCUUCGGAUCGUAAAACUCUGUUAUUAGGGAAGAACAUAUGUGUAAGUAACUGUGCACAUCUUGACGGUACCUAAUCAGAAAGCCACGGCUAACUACGUGCCAGCAGCCGCGGUAAUACGUAGGUGGCAAGCGUUAUCCGGAAUUAUUGGGCGUAAAGCGCGCGUAGGCGGUUUUUUAAGUCUG
rnacentral:rRNA from 1 species